AAAAAGUUUUAUUCUUGCUAAAAUAAUUAUUUUAUGAUUAAUCUAUAUACAUAUUUUUGUAAUUAAAAUUAAAUUUUAAUAAUUAUUUUCAUUUUAGUAGUAGAAAGUAUUAUUAUUCAAUGUAAUUUGGAUAUAGUAAUUCAUAUUAACUCCGGUUAAAGUCGUGCCAGCCGCCGCGGUUAUACGUAGGGAGUAUAUAAUUAUUUUUGAUUUAUAGUUAAAUUUUAUUUUUCUUUUAUAUCUAUUGUUUUUAGGUGAAAUUUUAAUUUUAGGUGUUUUUGUAUAAAUUUGAUUCUAUGAAACUUAUUUUAUAAACAAGGAUUAGAUACCCUUUUAUUUUAAGUGUAAAUAAUUUCAAUCAGGGUAUUAGUAGUUAUGUUCUUGAAACUCAAAGAAUUUGGCGGUAUUUUAUUCUUUUUAGAGGAACCUGUCCUGUGAUCGACAUUCCACGAUGAUGAUUUACUUUCCCUUGUUUUCAGUUUGUAUACCUCCGUCAUAAGAAUAUCUUUUUAGAGUAAAUAUUCUUAAUAUAUAAAAUAUAUAAUGUCAGGUCAAGGUGCAAUUUAUGGGAAAGAAGAGAUGGGUUACAAUAAAUUUAUUUAUAUGGAUUAAAUUAGUUGAAUUAAUUUAUGAAGGUGGAUUUAAAAGUAAAAUUAUUUUUCUUGAUGAUUUGAUUUUAGCUCUAUAAUAUGCACACAUCGCCCGUCGCUCUUAUUAUAAAAUAAGAUAAGUCGUAACAUAGUAGAUGUAUUGGAAAAUGUAUCUAGAUAGUAAA
rnacentral:ncRNA from 1 species